UACGUAGGGUGCGAGCGUUAAUCGGAAUUACUGGGCGUAAAGCGUGCGCAGGCGGUUGGUUAAGUCUGAUGUGAAAGCCCCGGGCUCAACCUGGGAAUGGCAUUUGGGACUGCAAGGCUGGAGUGCGGCAGAGGAGACGUGGAAUUCCUGGUGUAGCAGUGAAAUGCGUAGAUAUCAGGAGGAAUACCGAUGGCGAAGGCAGGGUCUCUGGGGCUGACACUGACGCU
rnacentral:rRNA from 1 species